rnacentral:rRNA from 1 species
AUGAAUGCCAUGAGCUGGAACUGCCGAGAGCUUGGGAACCCUAGGAUAGUUCGCGAGCUUCGCAAUAUAGUGAAGCAAGAAGGUCCUACCCUGCUUUUCGUCAUGGAGACAAAGAUCAGGGGGAAACAUGUAGAAGAUUUGAAGCAUACUUUAGGUUUUUCUGGUUGUUUUGCCGUCGAUAGUGAUGGUUUAAGUGGAGGUAUCAGUCUGUUUUGA